rnacentral:rRNA from 1 species
UACGGGGGGGGCAAGCGUUGUUCGGAAUUACUGGGAGUAAAGGGCUCGUAGGCGGCCAACUAAGUCAUACGUGAAAUCCCUCAGCUUAACUGGGGAACUGCGUGUGAUACUGGAUGGCUUGGAUUUGGGAGAGGGAUGCGGAAUUCCAGGUGUAGCGGUGAAAUGCGUAGAUAUUGGGAAGAACACCAGUGGCGAAGGCGGCUAUCUGGCCCGUUAUUGACGCUGAGGCGCGAAAGCGUGGGGAGCAAACAGG